rnacentral:rRNA from 1 species
UACGAAGGGGGCUAGCGUUGCUCGGAAUCACUGGGCGUAAAGCGCACGUAGGCGGCUAUGAUAGUCGGGGGUGAAAUCCUGGGCUCAACCUCAGAACUGCCUCCGAUACUGGCAGUCUCGAGUGCGGGAGAGGUGAGUGGAAUUCCCAGUGUAGAGGUGAAAUUCGUAGAUAUUGGGAAGAACACCAGUGGCGAAGGCGGCUCACUGGCCCGUAACUGACGCUGAGGUGCGAAAGCGUGGGGAGCAAACAGG